CACAUAGGGGACGAGCGUUGUCCGGAUUCAUUGGGCGUAAAGCGCGCGUAGGCGGCUCGGAAAGUCGGUCGUGAAAUGCCGGGGCUCAACCCCGGGACUGCGUCCGAUACUCCCGAGCUGGAGGCAGGUAGGGGAGAUCGGAAUCCUGGUGUAGCGGUGAAAUGCGCAGAUAUCAGGAAGAACACCCGUGGCGAAAGCGGCUCUCUGGAACGGUACUGACGCUAGACGCGAAAGC
rnacentral:rRNA from 1 species